UACGUAGGUGGCAAGCGUUGUCCGGAAUUAUUGGGCGUAAAGGGCGCGUAGGCGGCCUGAUAAGUCAGAUGUGAAAUCCCGAGGCUCAACCUCGGACUGGCAUUUGAAACUGUCGGGCUAGAGUGCAGGAGAGGAAAGUGGAAUUCCUAGUGUAGCGGUGAAAUGCGUAGAGAUUAGGAGGAACACCAGUGGCGAAGGCGACUUUCUGGACUGUAACUGACGCUGAGGCGCGAAAGCGUGGGGAGCAAACAGG
rnacentral:rRNA from 1 species